AUUGAACGCUGGCGGCAUGCCUUACACAUGCAAGUCGAACGGCAGCACGGGAGCAAUCCUGGUGGCGAGUGGCGAACGGGUGAGUAAUAUAUCGGAACGUGCCCAGUCGUGGGGAUAACGUAGCGAAAGCUACGCUAAUACCGCAUACGAUCUAUGGAUGAAAGCGGGGGAUCGCAAGACCUCGCGCGAUUGGAGCGGCCGAUAUCAGAUUAGGUAGUUGGUGAGGUAAAGGCUCACCAAGCCAACGAUCUGUAGCUGGUCUGAGAGGACGACCAGCCACACUGGAACUGAGACACGGUCCAGACUCCUACGGGAGGCAGCAGUGGGGAAUUUUGGACAAUGGACGCAAGUCUGAUCCAGCCAUUCCGCGUGCAGGAUGAAGGCCCUCGGGUUGUAAACUGCUUUGUUACGAACGAAAAGGUUUGUCUAAUACGAUGAGCUCAUGACGGUACCGUAAGAAUAAGCACCGGCUAACU
rnacentral:rRNA from 1 species